AUUGAACGCUGGCGGCAGGCUUAACACAUGCAAGUCGAGCGGAGAGAGGUAGCUUGCUACCGAUCUUAGCGGCGGACGGGUGAGUAAUGCUUAGGAAUCUGCCUAUUAGUGGGGGACAACAUUUCGAAAGGAAUGCUAAUACCGCAUACGUCCUACGGGAGAAAGCAGGGGAUCUUCGGACCUUGCGCUAAUAGAUGAGCCUAAGUCGGAUUAGCUAGUUGGUGGGGUAAAGGCCUACCAAGGCGACGAUCUGUAGCGGGUCUGAGAGGAUGAUCCGCCACACUGGGACUGAGACACGGCCCAGACUCCUACGGGAGGCAGCAGUGGGGAAUAUUGGACAAUGUGCGCAAGCCUGAUCCAGCCAUGCCGCGUGUGUGAAGAAGGCCUUAUGGUUGUAAAGCACUUUAAGCGAGGAGGAGGCUACUUUAGUUAAUACCUAGAGAUAGUGGACGUUACUCGCAGAAUAAGCACCGGCUAACUCUGUGCCAGCAGCCGCGGUAACAC
rnacentral:rRNA from 1 species